UGAAAGAUGGUUUCGGCUAUCACUUACAGAUGGGCCCGCGGUGCAUUAGCUAGUUGGUGAGGUAACGGCUCACCAAGGCCACGAUGCAUAGCCGACCUGAGAGGGUGAUCGGCCACACUGGGACUGAGACACGGCCCAGACUCCUACGGGAGGCAGCAGUAGGGAAUCUUCCGCAAUGGACGAAAGUCUGACGGAGCAACGCCGCGUGAGUGAUGAAGGCUUUCGGGUCGUAAAACUCUGUUGUUAGGGAAGAACAAGUACGAGAGUAACUGCUCGUACCUUGACGGUACCUAACCAGAAAGCCACGGCUAACUACGUGCCAGCAGCCGCGGUAAUACGUAGGUGGCAAGCGUUAUCCGGAAUUAUUGGGCGUAAAGCGCGCGCAGGCGGUUUCUUAAGUCUGAUGUGAAAGCCCACGGC
rnacentral:rRNA from 1 species